UUGUGACUGACGGUUGUUCUCACACGGCA
rnacentral:piRNA from 1 species